GCUCCUAAUUUAAUAUCCAUGUUUGUCCUCCUUAGGAUUUUGGUGUUUAUUUUCUGUUUUUGUGUUAAAUAAUCUAACACUAUUAUAGGAUACAUUAUUUGUACAGUUCUGAAAAAUUAUCAAUUGCUGAUAGUGCAGAAUCUCAUAAAUCAGAUUCGCUUUUGGGAUUCUAAAAUUUAUAGAUUAGAAAUCCGGUGAUGCGGGUGAUGUGGGAUAGUUUUGAUCAGCUGUCUGAAAAUUCAGGGGAUUGCAAGGAUUUGUUGUGAGAGCGAUUAAGAAUUACACAGACCAGCUCCUGGACUAUGGCAAAGACACUCCAUGUAAACCAUUGCUAUGAGCUUACAACCUCUAUUUUUUCCCAAUUUUUUUGUUUAUAUCUUAUUCUCUCACUGACCAAAUUCUUAUUGAAUUGGUGAAAUCAUGAUAUCAGAUAUCCUCACACAAACUCUUUUGUUCCUCUCUCAUUUUAUGGGAGAUGUACAUCAGGUGAGCAUGAUAAACCACAAAAAUCACCAUAUACUAAGCUAGCAUCUGACUUUGCAAUUUAGUUAUUGUAAUGGCUCUUUUGCGUGGUGAAUCGGCACCCUCUACAUGUGGGAUUUACCUCUGACAAAGGAGGCAAUUUAAUUAACAUUCACUGGUAUAGAAGGAAGCAAAAUCUUCACCAUGUUUGGGAUGUCAACAUAAUUGAAACAGCCAAAGAAAGAUUUUAUGACUCAGACAUAAAUAGCUUCACCAAAGCCAUUCAAGAGAAUAUAACGAAAACAUGGUCUGAUCAAGUACGCGGAUGGGAAACCUGCAAUUCUAAGGAAACUACUUGCCCAGAUAUGUAUGCCUUUAGAUCUAUCCCAAAGCUACACUUUUUCUCACUCGAUAAUGCUUUGUCAAAAUCCUUUGCAAGUUGAUCACUAUCCGCAAGUGAAAAAAAUAACCAAACCAUUUCUGCUUGACAAGCUUUCUCAAUCUAGAUGUUAAUGUAAACUGAGUGGCCUUUGGGAAAUUAAUAACCCAAGCAACAUUGAAGUUGGUGCUAAACCUCCUGAGGUGAAGGAAAAAUUACAAGUCAAAAGAUCAAAAGGAAAUGCUAGUGGCUGUAGUUUGAAUAU